UACGAAGGGGGCUAGCGUUGCUCGGAAUCACUGGGCGUAAAGGGUGCGUAGGCGGGUCUUUAAGUCAGGGGUGAAAUCCUGGAGCUCAACUCCAGAACUGCCUUUGAUACUGAAGAUCUUGAGUUCGGGAGAGGUGAGUGGAACUGCGAGUGUAGAGGUGAAAUUCGUAGAUAUUCGGAGGAACACCAGUGGCGAAGGCGGCAUCCUGGACCAAUUCUGACGCUGAUGAGCGAAAGCCAGGGGAGCAAACGGG
rnacentral:rRNA from 1 species